AUUGAACGCUGGCGGCAUGCUUUACACAUGCAAGUCGAACGGCAGCGCGGGCUUCGGCCUGGCGGCGAGUGGCGAACGGGUGAGUAAUGCAUCGGAACGUGCCCAGGAGUGGGGGAUAGCCCGGCGAAAGCCGGAUUAAUACCGCAUACGACCUGAUGGUGAAAGCGGGGGACCGAAAGGCCUCGCGCUAUUGGGGCGGCCGAUGUCGGAUUAGCUAGUUGGUUGGGUAAAGGCUUACCAAGGCGACGAUCCGUAGCUGGUCUGAGAGGACGACCAGCCACACUGGGACUGAGGCACGGCCCAGACUCCUACGGGAGGCAGCAGUGGGGAAUUUUGGGCAAUGGGGGCAACCCUGAUCCAGCCAUGCCGCGUGCGGGAAGAAGGCCUUCGGGUUGUAAACCGCUUUUGUUCGGGAAGAAAUCCUCUGGGCUAAUACCCCGGGGGGAUGACGGUACCGGAAGAAUAAGCACCGGCUAACUACGUG
rnacentral:rRNA from 1 species